rfam:Schistosoma mattheei strain Denwood, Zambia genome assembly, scaffold: SMTD_scaffold0011172
AUCCAGCUGACGAGUCUCAAAUAGGAUGAAAAGCUCAUCAAACUGGAU